AAUAAAAAAAAUACUAGCACUACUAUACCGGAUCUCAUCAUAAUGUCAAAGUUAAACGUGCUUGGGAAAGAGUAUACUGUGAUGGAUGACUCCUUGAGAAGUCCUCGUGUUGCAUCC
rnacentral:rRNA from 1 species